CGGAAACUGAUUUCAUUGGGUGAGGUAGAUGUUUGUACCCCGUCUCUAGCACCAUAUGAAAUCAGUGUUCCUGG
ensembl:miRNA